rnacentral:rRNA from 1 species
UAUAAGCGGAGGAAAGGAAACCACCUGGGAUUCCUUUUGUAACGGCGAGCUAACAGGGAACAGUUCAGCGCCGAAUUCCAAGUCCGCACGGACGUUUGGAAAAUAUGGCGUUUAGGAGUAAACAUGCCGGAGGUUGGCCGUGCAGCAAGUCCACAUGACCGGUGCUGUAACCCUCAGCGUGUGCGAGGGCCAUAGUUGCUAGGUCUCCUCCGGAUGCGCCCUCUCGGGAGUCGGGUUGCUUGGGAGUGCAACACUAGUCGGGUGGUAAACUCCACCUAAGACUAACUACGGCCGUGAGGCCGAUAGCAAACAAGUGCCGCGAGGGAAAGUUGCAAAGAAAUUUGAAGAGAGAUUUGAAGAGUACGUGAAACUGAUCAGAGUUAAACGGGUGCGCUCUCGAAAUCCUGUGGCGGCGGGAUUCAGUSAGAAGAGGCGGAGGUGUUUGUCGGUUGAUCGAAACGGGAAAGGCGGCACGGUCUCCGCUUCGCCUGACGCAUUUCCUCCCGCACGAAGGACGCGCCGCAGCCGGUUGUGUAGCUGCGCGAUUCGGCCUUAAGGGCGAGCAACGGAAGGUGGCCGGUGGCGUCGCAUCCGCUUCGCCGCCGGUUGUUAGCCAGCUCGUCCGUGGCGCGACAACCGACCGAGGUCAGAAAGGUCCCUUUCCCGCGACUCGCCGCCUCACUCUCUGAGUGGCCGGCGCGUCGAGGCUGCCUGUGGCCCAAGAGAACCACGGCGGGUUCCGGCGGCUCGCGGCGAGUAGGUCGGUUACCCACUCGACCC